UUUCUAAAAUGAGAAUCAUCCCCUUUCAUUUUAUAUAACUAAUAUUUUAAAUAAUUUGCCUCGAAAAAUUAUUUUUGAUGAUAGCUAAUAUAAAAAUCUCAUGACUUUAAAAUCUUUGCAAGUAUAUUUGAAAGUUCCACAGUAAAUGUAUUAAAUAAUAAAAAUAUAAUAGAGGUGAGCAUUCCGGUGAAUCACCCUGUAUUAUAUCAUCGUAUUCGAGGACUUAGAAGGCGGCAAUCCGAUCGAUUUUCCUGGGGCCCGAAAAUCCUGUCGAUCCGUUGCCGCGAAUCAUCCCGUACAAUAUUGACACUAUAUUCAUAGACACCGUGAUUGAUAAUAAUACUGUUAUACUAUAUAUAGAGAUAAAAUGUGCGACAUCGUCGGGGAACGGUCUUCGUCGUGGCCGCUACAGUAGCAGCAGCAGCCGGACCACCCGGCGGUGGCGGAUCGCGACAUCAAUCAUUACACGCGUGGCGGCGGUCCUGCGCACGUGCACACUCGCGCAUCCACCGGACCAUCCGCACGUGCCGCCCCGAACACGCCACAUGGUACUCGACCGCGGCCCGAAACGCUGCACUACAAUCCGGACGUAAUCAUUUCAAAUGGUCCCGUACACGUGUAAUCCCCGGUCCCGUACAAGCGGUCCGCCUUUUAUUCGCCAGACGAGCGACGCGUGACUUACUGGUAUACUAUAUAUAUAUUAUCUAUACAUUGCUUGUGUAUUGUUUACGUAAACCUAUGUGAUUUUUUAAACAAUUUGUAUUGUUGUGCGUAAAUAGUAAGUUUUUUGUAUCUAUGUGAUAUGCUGCAAUAAUGAUCUAUCUGCUAGAUAAAUUCUAUCGUGUUCGUUGCCGGAAGCUGGAUUAAGACAUUAUGAGUCUGCACAAGCACUAGAUCUCUCGCAGGCACCUUUCCAACCGCCUCGAAAUACAUAACAAAUGGUUUUAAAUAUUAUGCAUUUUCUUUAUUAUAAAUAUAAAAAAAUACAAAUAAAAAACGAUAAACUAGUA